UCGAGAAUUUUUCACAAUGGACGAAAGUCUGAUGGAGCGACGCCGCGUGGAGGAUGAAGGUUUUCGGAUUGUAAACUCCUGUCACUGCAGAACAAGGCUAUGCUCGUUAACAGCGAACGUAGUUGAUGGUAUGCGGAGAGGAAGGGACGGCUAACUCUGUGCCAGCAGCCGCGGUAAGACAGAGGUCCCGAGCGUUGUUCGGAUUCAUUGGGCGUAAAGGGUGUGUAGGAGGUGGGGUAAGUCAGGUGUGAAAUCUCGGAGCUUAACUCCGAAACUGCGCUUGAUACUGCUCUGCUAGAGGAUCGGAGGGGGUAUCGGAAUUUAUGGUGUAGCAGUGAAAUGCGUAGAUAUCAUAAGGAACACCGGUGGCGAAGGCGGAUACCUGGAAGAUUCCUGACUCUGAAACACGAAAGCCAGGGGAGCAAACGGGAUUAGAUACCCCCGUAGUCC
rnacentral:rRNA from 1 species